rnacentral:rRNA from 1 species
UUCCGUAGGUGAACCUGCGGAAGGAUCAUUACUGUGAUUUAGUACUACACUGCGUGAGCGGAACGAAAACAACAACACCUAAAAUGUGGAAUAUAGCAUAUAGUCGACAAGAGAAAUCUACGAAAAACAAACAAAACUUUCAACAACGGAUCUCUUGGUUCUCGCAUCGAUGAAGAGCGCAGCGAAAUGCGAUACCUAGUGUGAAUUGCAGCCAUCGUGAAUCAUCGAGUUCUUGAACGCACAUUGCGCCCCUCGGCAUUCCGGGGGGCAUGCCUGUUUGAGCGUCGUUUCCAUCUUGCGCGUGCGCAGAGUUGGGGGAGCGGAGCGGACGACGUGUAAAGAGCGUCGGAGCUGCGACUCGCCUGAAAGGGAGCGAAGCUGGCCGAGCGAACUAGACUUUUUUUCAGGGACGCUUGGCGGCCGAGAGCGAGUGUUGCGAGACAACAAAAAGCUCGACCUCAAAUCAGGUAGGAAUACCCGCUGAACUUAAGCAUAUCAAUAAGCGGAGGAA